UUCUUAUUGAGGUAUUAAAAGCUGCACUGUCAUGCAUUCAUAUAUGUGAACUGGCAGCCAAACUUUGUAACGUGAACGUGAUGAUUUUGGUAUUGAUUUUAAAGAGAAUAGAUUGUUUAAAAUUGGGUUUUGUUUUCCAAAAGUUAUGCAUGUAUUGUAAUAUCGCAAAAGAAACUUAAAAAUUAUGGAUAAAAUUGCUUCCCACAUCCACGUUUUUCUGGUUUCUCGACAUAUUCCAAAUCCUAGUUUGUGCAUUUCUCAUUUUCCACGUUUUUCAGUAUUUUUCGCCAUAUUCCAUGUCCUACCAUGUGAGUUUCUCACUUUACUUGUUUCUAAGUUUUCUCAGCAUAUUCCAGGAAAAAGAGAUAUUAAUGGAUUAAUAUUAAUUCUAUAUAUACAUAUAUACAUAUAUACACACACACACAAUUUUUAAAAAGAGAAUUAAAGUAGAGCUGGGGCAAUUGUGGAACACACCUUCAACCUCAGGCAGAUUUCUGCGUUCAAGGUCACCCUGACUUACAAGUCAGCUAGGGCUAGAGAAAUCAUAUAUCAGAAAAAAAACGAAAAAAAUAAUAGAAAGACAGA
rnacentral:lncRNA from 1 species